AGAUAGAAAAUAGGUGCCCGUACCGCAAACCGACACAGGUAGUCAAGAUGAGAAUUCUAAGGUGAGCGAGCGAACUCUCGUUAAGGAACUCGGCAAAAUGACCCCGUAACUUCGGGAGAAGGGGUGCUCUUUAGGGUUAACGCCCAGAAGAGCCGCAGUGAAUAGGCCCAAGCGACUGUUUAUCAAAAACACAGGUCUCUGCUAAACCGUAAGGUGAUGUAUAGGGGCUGACGCCUGCCCGGUGCGGGAAGGUUAAGAGGAGUGGUUAGCUUCUGCGAAGCUACGAAUCGAAGCCCCAGUAAACGGCGGCCGUAACUAUAACGGUCCUAAGGUAGCGAAAUUCCU
rnacentral:rRNA from 1 species